rnacentral:lncRNA from 1 species
GCAAAAUCAGUAAGCCUCUGUCACAAUUAUUUCCAGUCUCUAACGUAAACGACACGAUCGUAUGCCGGUCGUGUCUCAGGUAAUGGCAACGUCAAAGCUCGAUCAAACGUUAAGAGGUCCACACAAAAGUUAUACCUAUACUAAGAAGGCUGUGCGGAUUUUGUACCCUGAAAAUUUUGAACACUUCACUGUCAUAAGGCGUGCCUGAAGACGUCAUCAUCUACCCUCUUUUUACGUCAUCUUCCACAGCCUUGGCUCUGGUUGUCUCCCUUUUUCUCCUCUACUGCAAAGUGUAUGCUGUAACAAUGAAGCUUUACUGCAAAACGGAAUAGUUGGGAAGGAUCAGCUUUCUCUUUUAACAGCUUUCUGCAUCUCGUUAUACAAAGCCUAUUGGCAGGGACCAUCACUUACUGAAUUUUGUCCAUUAAAGAGGCACCUUUAUUCCUUUUGCCUCGACUUCAAAAUAAUCAGCUCGUCAUCU